rnacentral:rRNA from 1 species
AUUGAACGCUGGCGGCAUGCCUUACACAUGCAAGUCGAACGGUAACAGGUCUUCGGAUGCUGACGAGUGGCGGACGGGUGAGUAAUACAUCGGAACGUGCCUAGUAGUGGGGGAUAACUACUCGAAAGAGUGGCUAAUACCGCAUGAGAUCUACGGAUGAAAGCAGGGGAUCGCAAGCCCUUGUGCUACUAGAGCGGCCGAUGGCAGAUUAGGUAGUUGGUGGGAUAAAAGCUUACCAAGCCGACGAUCUGUAGCUGGUCUGAGAGGACGAUCAGCCACACUGGGACUGAGACACGGCCCAGACUCCUACGGGAGGCAGCAGUGGGGAAUUUUGGACAAUGGGCGCAAGCCUGAUCCAGCAAUGCCGCGUGCAGGAUGAAGGCCUUCGGGUUGUAAACUGCCUUUGUACGGAACGAAAAGCCCUGGGUUAAUACCCUGGGGUCAUGACGGUACCGUAAGAAUAAGCACCGGCUAACUACGUGCCAGCCGCCGCAGUAACAC